rnacentral:rRNA from 1 species
AGUGAACGCUGGCGGUAGGCCUAACACAUGCAAGUCGAACGGCAGCACAGUAAGAGCUUGCUCUUACGGGUGGCGAGUGGCGGACGGGUGAGGAAUACAUCGGAAUCUACUUUUUCGUGGGGGAUAACGUAGGGAAACUUACGCUAAUACCGCAUACGACCUACGGGUGAAAGCCGGGGAUCUUCGGACCUUGCGCGAUUGAAUGAGCCGAUGUCGGAUUAGCUAGUUGGCGGGGUAAAGGCCCACCAAGGCGACGAUCCGUAGCUGGUCUGAGAGGAUGAUACGCCACACGGGAACUGAGACACGGUCCAGACUCCUACGGGAGGCAGCAGUGGGGAAUAUUGGACAAUGGGCGCAAGCCUGAUCCAGCCAUACCGCGUGGGUGAAGAAGGCCUUCGGGUUGUAAAGCCCUUUUGUUGGGAAAGAAAAGCAGCAGGUUAAUACCCCGCUGUUCUGACGGUACCCAAAGAAUAAGCACCGGCUAACUUCGUG